UACGAAGGGGGCUAGCGUUGCUCGGAAUCACUGGGCGUAAAGCGCACGUAGGCGGCUUUUUAAGUCAGAGGUGAAAUCCUGGAGCUCAACUCCAGAACUGCCUUUGAUACUGGAGAGCUUGAGUCCGGGAGAGGUGAGUGGAACUGCGAGUGUAGAGGUGAAAUUCGUAGAUAUUCGCAAGAACACCAGUGGCGAAGGCGGCUCACUGGCCCGGUACCGACGCUGAGGUGCGAAAGCGUGGGGAGCAAACAGG
rnacentral:rRNA from 1 species